rnacentral:rRNA from 1 species
AUUGAGCGCUGGCGGCAUGCUUUACACAUGCAAGUCGAACGGUAACAGGCCGCAAGGUGCUGACGAGUGGCGAACGGGUGAGUAAUGCAUCGGAACGUGCCCAGUCGUGGGGGAUAACGCAGCGAAAGCUGCGCUAAUACCGCAUACGAUCUAUGGAUGAAAGCGGGGGACCGUAAAGCCUCGCGCGAUUGGAGCGGCCGAUGUCAGAUUAGGUAGUUGGUGGGGUAAAGGCUCACCAAGCCGACGAUCUGUAGCUGGUCUGAGAGGACGACCAGCCACACUGGGACUGAGACACGGCCCAGACUCCUACGGGAGGCAGCAGUGGGGAAUUUUGGACAAUGGGCGCAAGCCUGAUCCAGCAAUGCCGCGUGCAGGAAGAAGGCCUUCGGGUUGUAAACUGCUUUUGUACGGAACGAAACGGUCCUGGUUAAUACCUGGGGCUAAUGACGGUACCGUAAGAAUAAGCACCGGCUAACUACGUGCCAGCCGCCGCAGUAAAAC